rnacentral:rRNA from 1 species
CAGCCGCCACGGUAAUACGAAGGGUGCUAGCGUUGUUCGGAAUUACUGGGUGUAAAGCGCACGUAGGCGGAUUUUUAGGUCAGGGGUGAAAUCCCGAGGCUCAACCUCGGAACUGCCUUUGAUACUGGAGAUCUUGAGUUCGGAAGAGGUUGGUGGAACAGCUAGUGUAGAGGUGAAAUUCGUAGAUAUUAGCUAGAACACCAGUGGCGAAGGCGGCCAACUGGUCCGAUACUGACGCUGAGGUGCGAAAGCGUGGGGAGCAAACAGGAUUAGAUACCCCUGUAGUCCCUGUCUCUUAUAC